GUGGACUGUCCUCAGUGAUCAUCAUAAUAACAGUUGGCACAUGUACCCUUAGGAUCAAGACAAAGUAUUUAUCAGACUGAAGGCUUUUGGGACAUCGUUGGACGAGUUAAGGCCCAGAGCUGGCAGGACUGUGCAGUACCACCGGAGCUUUUAUACUAGCAGAUGAUAGGAGCAGUUGACCCAAAGACCGUUUGGACAAGGAGGGGGUAAAAAAAAAAAAAAAGAAAAAAUGUUCUGUGCAAAUUGUGAUUGUUAAUAAAGAACAUGAGUGGUCUCAGUGUUUGUAUUUGGGUGCACAUGGGGACAGUGGGCUUUUAUGAACUUGGCUCUCACAGCCAAGGGGGACAAGUUACAAGUCCAAACAAGAUGUGUUCGGGCACAGGAAGGAGAAAGUCAAGGCUUGGUACCAAAAUUUAACAUGGAUUACCAGGGUUAUAAGUGGGCAAAAGUUGAGACUUUAUGCGAUUACAUUGCCAACCUUUUAUUAAAAGCAAAAAUCGGGCCAGAAAACGCACUAAAGUCUGGUUCUACUUUCAGCAUCGCACACAGAAAAAAGAGACUUCAAGCUCUACCAAACUGAAUAAGCCACAAAACGAAGCCUCUGCAAGUUAAAAAGAUCAACGUCUUAACGUCAGAAACACGCGAACGCCAAAACGCAGCAGCGGCACCGCCAGUUCGUCCAAGUACACGAUACAGCAACAAAAAUACGGAAAACUCGCCGCAAGCCCCUAAAAACACAACGCCAGUUUAAACAAGAGCGGAUUCCCAAUCUAGAAAAGCCCCAAGUAUUCCACAAGCCGACAUGGCAAACGCACCGUCACUGAACCGCGAAACUCCAAAACUAGCCAGGGAAACACAGCGCCUCUAACCUGCGGGGAGUCAGAAACGCAAAUGCCGUUCAAAAAGUCAAAGCGUAGCCGAGCCUGACACCGCCGCACUAACAUUGCAAAAAAAGUCUGAAGAUUCAUCCAGGUGAAGACUGACGAAGUGCUUGGAGAAGCAGUGGAACGUAUCUACCUAACAAGAAAGAAGUCCAGAUGAAAUGAUUCAACUAUCAUAUUGCAAAAAACCGUCGAACAAAAACUACGAAGCAGCCAAACGCUAAAACGAAAUUACACAAAAAACUGCUCCUCUUGACGAUCUACCGCCUCCACUUAAAUACAAGUCAGUCAGCACGCCAAACCCCAAUCACGGAAAAGAACAUCAAGAGCGAGACGAGCAGUUCGACAGAAAAACUCAAAUAAGCCCGAAGGCUCGCCGCGUGGCCUUAAGUGCGAAACGCCUCCAGCACACCUGACACAGGUCUGCACUGAUUGUCGGAAACGUCAUGGGAUGACACGCCUCCGCAGUGACAAACCAAUACAAUUCAAAGUCGGAAAGAUGGAUCGGCCUCUUGUUUAAAUAAAAAGGAACCGGUAAACAAACAGCAGCCGUCAGCGGCGAGCUGUCAAAAUGAGAUCUGCAAAGACAAAAGACGUCUGAGGCGCAAAAAUGUUGGCUUUACCGGGGGUCGCACUGAAAAAGGAAAACGGUAACGUACGACCGAGAGCACCUCUAACUCAACAAUACAACAAAAUAUAACGUCAACAAGUAACCUGACUGUGUAUGCCAACUCGAGAAAUCGUCCGUAACCACCUGAAAUUCGCAGUCCCGUUAUGUUUCCUGACUGAAGACACCUCUCUGCACGUCUGGCCGCACCUGACAUUCAAGCUCAUUCCACUUCCCCACGAAUAAUGAAUGUUUACUAAGAGCCGGAGAAGCGCCGACGACACGUGACACCAACCCCCGAGGUUCAGCACCGACCACGCGCCGCGUUCUCUUCGGGCAGCAAGGUGGCUCGGCGGGAAGCGUCGACACCACACGGCUCCGGGCGCUAUGGGAUCGAAUCCAGCCCGCGACCCCCAUGCGGAGUUUGCAUGUACUAAUAAGUGUAAUCCCCAUUUUUUGGCAUAAAGGAAGUGACCCGACAUCUACAUCUGAAUCCCAGAUUGGGAGCUAUGGGUAGAAAUCCUCCGCUCAAAGAGAGCAGCUUUCACCGCAGAUGACAGGCGCGAUCACCAGGGCAUUGAUUAACAUUCACGACUAUAUAGUCAGCUUUGCGCGAUCACAAUAAGUACCCUGUUUACUUUAAAUCGGCAUGUAGUCGGAAUGACGCCGUCGUCCUGCACAUCAUUUUUAGACUUCAACCAACACCAACAGAAACCCCAACUAAAAGCAGAGUCACGCCGGCUCAGACGUUUUCAUUCCCUGCUCUUUGGUGUAUUUAAUCAAAGGAAAAACCGACAAUGCCAG